rnacentral:rRNA from 1 species
UUGAACGCUGGCGGCAUGCUUCACACAUGCAAGUCGAACGGUAACAGGUGUAGCAAUACAUGCUGACGAGUGGCGGACGGGUGAGGAAUGCUUGGGAAUCUGCCUGUUAGUGGGGGACAACCCGGGGAAACUCGGGCUAAUACCGCAUACGCUCUACGGAGGAAAGCGGGGGACCGUAAGGCCUCGCGCUAACAGAUGAGCCCAAGUCGGAUUAGCUAGUUGGUGGGGUAAAAGCCUACCAAGGCGACGAUCCGUAGCUGGUCUGAGAGGACGAUCAGCCACACUGGGACUGAGACACGGCCCAGACUCCUACGGGAGGCAGCAGUGGGGAAUAUUGGACAAUGGGGGCAACCCUGAUCCAGCAAUGCCGCGUGUGUGAAGAAGGCCUGCGGGUUGUAAAGCACUUUUGGCAGGGAUGAAAAGCACUGGAUUAAUAACCCAGUGUGUUGACCUAACCUGCAGAAGAAGCACCGGCUAACUCUGUG